GUGUUGUUACACUUACAACACUACUCCUCGCUACGUCACUGCGUGUGAAAAUAGUUAAAAACCUUCGAAAUUUGUAGAAAAAAAAAAAUCGGCGUUUUUUUUGUUAACUGAACAUUACCCAAUAGUUGUUCUGAUCGGAUCUCAUCGGAUAAACAUUAAAAUUAAAUCCAUUCCCCAAUAUUCGAUAGGCGUAUCGGUCGCCCAUCAAUAUCAUCAUCUAUACCAACGCUUCCCAACCUAUGGGUCGGGACCCAAUAUUGGGUAGUGAAAUAUUUUUGAUGGUUCUCGAUGAAAGAAACAUAUUUUGAUUAUAAUAUAAUAAAAUAGAAAAAAUAAAAAUAUAUUAGCAAGAAUAAUAAGAAAAUACGCAAAAUAAAUGUGAAAAAUCGAAAAAAAACGGAGGGAAACUGACAAUGUACGAAAUAUAAGUAUUAGUUGAAAAAUAUUACGUCCAUUUUUUUUCCUGUGAACAAUUUUUCUACCAGAAAUUUUGCUCCGAUCUACAAUGAUAGUACUUUUUCUAAAUGGAAAUCCGAUUGGAAAGGUACUUUAGAAGAUCAUUUUUCGAUUUUCUCAAGAGUUUUCCAAGCAAAUGUGAUAAACCGGGAAAAAACGGGAAAUCGGUACAAUAUAAAACACAACUAUUAUUAAAGAAAUUAUAUAAUACCUAUUUAAUUAUUUUACCAUAAUAUGACAUGUAUAUAUUGUUGACAAAGUAUCACUAUUAACUGAACUCGGCUCAGAAUCGUUUUUCGUUAGAAAUGGUUUAUCGUUGCUUACAUAUGGUAUAUAUAUUAAAUUCCAUUCUGUAUCCCAUCUUCUCAACUUCCCACCUACAGCAGUGGCUGUACUCCCAUUAUCCUAGGGCAACUUUUUUUAAUGUGGGUCGCAUACUCAAAAAAAAGUAAAUGUGUGGGUAGCGCCAUAACGAAAAGAUUGGGAACCACUGAUCUAUACAACUAUACCUAUACACUUGCGCAUUACUGAUCGAAUGUUUUUUUUUUCUAGUAGAAUACAUAAUAUUAUAUUUCCUGCGUUUAUUUCAAGGUGUUUUUUUUUUUUUCUAACUCGGUCAACGACAAAAAUGCGUGUAUUGACUUACUGUUGUACCUAAUAUUGCAAUAUAAUAUUUCGGUGCGUAAAAUCCAACGAGUAUUGCACGACGAUCGUCUCGAAAACUACAUACACCCGCACGACACUCUUUAAACGAAAAUAUAGAAUAUUAACAUUAAAAAAAACAACAACACCACUCAACUAUUAAGUAUAUAAUGUUUUAGUAUUAUUAUACAGAAGUAUUAUGCAAUACCACGAAUUCGCAUAAUUUUUCACCGUAGAUAUUGUUUUUGCAUAAUAUUGUUAUUAAAAGCUAUACGGGUCGGCCUGCAAACUGUCGGUGCUGCACCUUAUCGGGUCUCGCGAACGACACGGCUUAUUUUACAAAAAAUCCUGUCAUCAGAGUGAUCAUUAACCCGAGCCAUAGGUACGCUGUGUCAUAUUAAUAUUUUUCGGUUUAUUAGUGUUACACAAUAAUUCAGUUUAUUAACAAAAUUAUAAAAAAAAAUAAAUAAAUAAUCGUAUGCGCAACUGGUAACGAUAAUUUGUUAUACGAGACACUAAUUAAUCUAACCAUCAUUUAAAUAUUCAAAUGUCAACCAUAGUUAUUCGGUAUAUAAUUUCUAAUUAUUAUACAACUAUAAAUUAUCAACUUAGUUUUAGUAAAUGUUUUUUAUUAACAAAUGUUUAGUCAUUUUAAAUUAUUAAAUGAUGGCGAAUUGAUAAUGUAUAAUUAGGAAAUUAAACUAAACAUAUAAACAGAAAUGAUUACGUCCAUAUUUAUUUAUGUAUAUCUCAUUAUAUAAAUUAUACAUUAAAUAUAUUUA